GUGGAUAUAGUUCAAUUGGUAGAACAACUAUAUGUGGCAUAGUAAGUUUUCUGUUCAAGUCAGGGUAUCCACC
rnacentral:tRNA from 1 species